rnacentral:rRNA from 1 species
UAGCGUAUAUUAAAGUUGUUGCGGUUAAAAAGCUCGUAGUUGGAUUUCGAUCGGGAACUGGUGGUCCAUCUUUUGGAUGUGCAUCUACAUAGGUCUUGGUCUCUUCUCAGUUCACGUUUCUGCGCUUGAUUGCGUGGUGCGGUGUCUGGGACUUUUACUUUGAGGAAAUUAGAGUGUUCACGGCAGGCAUACGCCUUGAAUAUAUUAGCAUGGAAUAAUACUAUAGGAUCUUGGUUCUAUUUUGUUGGUUUCUAGAGCUAAGAUAAUGAUUAAUAGGGACAAUUGGGGGCAUUCGUAUUGACGAGUCAGAGGUGAAAUUCUUGGAUUUCGUCACGACGAACUACUGCGAAAGCAUUUGCCAAGGAUGUUUUCAUUGAUCAAGAACGAAAGUAAGGGGAUCGAAGAUGAUUAGAUACCGUCGUAGUCUUUACCAUAAACUAUGCCAACUAGAGAUGGGGCGUCGUUCUACUUUAACUCGCUCCGCACCUUAUGAGAAAUCAAAGUCUUUGGGUUCCGGGGGGAGUAUGGUCGCAAGGCUGAAACUUAAAG